rnacentral:tmRNA from 1 species
AUUGCAUUUUCGAUUGAUAUUUGCUAUAUUCUUAUUGCUGACUUGUCAGCUAUGACACUAGAGGCGCUAUGAAAUAGGUAUGUUGGACCCGAGGGCAGUACUCGGCACCUCCACCAUUUCAAUAAAAAGUUUAUAAGUGCUUUGCUACGCAGGUCAUUGCGAGAGAAGUUUACAUAAAAGGGUAAAUGAACGAGCAAUGACCAAGUAUGAAAGUUUUUAUAAACUUCUUUAAGGGGGUGAAACAGGUUAGACAGUAUACAAUAAAGAUGGUUUGCUGUGUUCGGUAAGACACCACCGUUAUCGGUUCAAAAUAAAUGAACGCAAAUGAUAAUUUUGCACCUGUUGCCGUAGCUGCUUAAUAGUGAACGCAACAAAUUAAAAUUCUUUGAAAUUUGGUUUUUUCAAAGUGAGGUUUGGGCCACCUAGCAACAGGACGG